rnacentral:rRNA from 1 species
GAUUAACGCUAGCUGGAGGCUUAACACAUGCAAGUCGAGCGGAAAGGCCACUUCGGUGGUACUCGAGCGGCGAACGGGUGAGUAACACGUGAGUAAUCUGCCCCUGGCUUUGGGAUAGCCACCGGAAACGGUGAUUAAUACCGGAUAUGACGCGCUCUCGCAUGGGGGUGUGUGGAAAGUUUUUCGGCCAGGGAUGUGCU